ensembl:rRNA 5S_rRNA 5S ribosomal RNA
UUUUACAUCCACAUCACCCUGCAGCCCAUGACCGAUUACUCACUGAAGCUAAGCAAGGCUGAGCCUGGUCAGUACCUGGAUGGGAGACCACAUGGGAAAACUAGGUUGCUGUUGAAA